rnacentral:rRNA from 1 species
UACGUAGGGGGCAAGCGUUGUCCGGAUUUACUGGGCGUAAAGAGCGUGUAGGCGGCCAAACAGGUCCGUUGUGAAAACUGGAGGCUUAACCUCCAGACGUCGACGGAAACCGUGUGGCUAGAGUCCGAAAGAGGAGAGUGGAAUUCCUGGUGUAGCGGUGAAAUGCGCAGAUAUCAGGAAGAACACCAAUGGCGAAGGCAGCUCUCUGGGACGGUACUGACGCUGAGACGCGAAAGCGUGGGGAGCGAACAGG